rnacentral:rRNA from 1 species
GAUGAACGCUAGCGGCAGGCUUAACACAUGCAAGUCGAGGGGCAGCGCGAUGUAGCAAUACAUUGGCGGCGACCGGCGCACGGGUGCGUAACACGUAUGGAACUUACCCUUUACUGGGAGAUAGCCCGGAGAAAUCCGGAUUAAUAUCCCAUAAUAAACGAAGUGGCAUCACUUUGUUUGAAAGCUCCGGCGGUAAAGGAUGGCCAUGCGCACGAUUAGCUAGUAGGUGAGGUAACGGCUCACCUAGGCUACGAUCGUUAGGGGGCCUGAGAGGGUUAUCCCCUACACUGGUACUGAGACACGGACCAGACUCCUACGGGAGGCAGCAGUGAGGAAUAUUGCGCAAUGGAGGCAACUCUGACGCAGCCAUGCCGCGUGCAGGAAGAAGGCGCUACGCGUUGUAAACUGCUUUUAACCGGGAAGAAACCCUCCGACGUGUCGGAGGUUGACGGUACCGGAGGAAUAAGCACCGGCUAACUUCGUGCCAGCAGCCGCGGUAAAGUC